rnacentral:rRNA from 1 species
GACGAACGCUGGCGGCGUGCCUAAUACAUGCAAGUCGAACGAGUGGCGGACGGGUGAGUAACACGUGGGAACCUACCCAUCAGAGGGGGAUAACACUUGGAAACAGGUGCUAAUACCGCAUACUGAAGGAUGGACCCGCGGGGCAUUAGCUAGUUGGUGAGGUAACGGCUCACCUAGGCGACGAACUGUAGCUGGUCUGAGAGGUUGACCAGCCAAACUGGAACUGAGACACGGCCCAGACUCCUACGGGAGGAAGCAGUGGGGAAUAUUGCACAAUGGGCGCAAGCCUGAUGCAGCCAUGCCGCGUGUAUGAAGAAGGCCUUAGGGUUGUAAAGUACUUUCAGCGGGGAGGCGUUACCCGCAGAAGAAGCACCGGCUAACUCCGUGCCAGCAGCCGCGGUAAUUC